AGUCUUAUAUUCAAAAAUGAUAUAAAAUUGCAAAUUUUAAGGAGUAAAAAUAUUACUAAGACUU
rnacentral:tRNA from 1 species